rnacentral:rRNA from 1 species
AGUGAACGCUGGCGGCGUGCUUAACACAUGCAAGUCGAACGAGAACGGGAUAUAGCUUGCUAUAUUUGUCAGCUAAGUGGCGCACGGGUGAGUAAUGUAUAGGUAAUAUGCCUCUUACUAAGGGAUAACAAUUGGAAACGAUUGCUAAUACCUUAUAUGCCUUUAAGACUAAAGUCUGCAAGGGAAAGAUUUAUUGGUAAGAGAUUAGCCUGUAUUGUAUCAGCUAGUUGGUGAGGUAAUGGCUCACCAAGGCUAUGACGCAUAACUGGUUUGAGAGGAUGAUCAGUCACACUGGAACUGAGACACGGUCCAGACUCCUACGGGAGGCAGCAGUGGGGAAUAUUGCACAAUGGACGAAAGUCUGAUGCAGCAACGCCGCGUGGAGGAUGACACAUUUCGGUGCGUAAACUCCUUUUAUAUAGGAAGAUAAUGACGGUACUAUAUGAAUAAGCACCGGCUAACUCCGU